rnacentral:hammerhead_ribozyme from 1 species
ACGCGAAACCCUAAUAAGGGUCAAGUUACAGUGGUUUGUAACUUCUGACGAGCAGCUAAAA